UACGUAGGGUGCAAGCGUUAAUCGGAAUUACUGGGAGUAAAGCGUACGCAGGCGGCUUUGCAAGACAGGUGUGAAAUCCCCGGGCCUAACCUGGGAACUGCAUUUGUGACUGCAUGGCUAGAGUCUGUCAGAGGGGGGUGGAAUUCCACGUGUAGCAGUGAAAUGCGUAGAGAUGUGGAAGAACACCGAUGGCGAAGGCAGCCCCCUGGGAUGAGACUGACGCUCAUGUACGAAAGCGUGGGGAGCAAACAGG
rnacentral:rRNA from 1 species